UCUUUGUAUUUCAGUCUUCAUCUUUAAUGUGAGGAGAUUCCCAGCUGGAAAAGCCUGAGAGAAAAGUUUCAAAGAAUGCACACAAGUUUGUGAUGCAAAAUGUACUUAUUUGAUGUGCAGUGGAAACAUCCAGCUACCUAACGUGAAGUUUCUCGUGUUUUACCAGCUCCUUUACUGAAUGUAAUCCACCCUGAUUGACCUGGAGAAUGCUGUACUGGGCUGGCUGAGUAUUACAAAAUAUGUAAUAUUAGUUAACUGAUUCUAAUAAAAACAAAAGGAAAAUGGGAA